GUGGGGUGGGGGGGGGAGAGAAUGUGCAUUCUUUAAUCUUAUACCUAGAUAUUUGCAGUAAGCCAAAAACCAAAAUAUUUUCUUUUUUCAACACAACACAAAAGAAAUAGCUCCUGUGUUUUUGUUUCCAGCUGCCUCCCCACUUGACAGAGAAACUGGGCUAUAGUUAGGAAGCAUUGGUUCUAACCUCAAAAGCAAGGACCCACUUAUCCCAGCCGGUCCCAAUGGGUCUGGUUUUAGGGGAAUAAGGAAAGCUCGAGUAGCUGGGAAGCAGGUGGCUGUCUUUCUGUGUCCUACCAGGCUGACCAAAGUGCCAUUCUCUUCAUUUUCAGUGUUUUCCAGUGGUCUCACAGAUUCACUAUUGCAGUGUUCUUCCCAGGAAAGAAAACUCCACUAGAUAUCCGAGAGAACAGAAGGGGUCCUAAUGUUUCCUCAGAUAUCAGUGUUUGCCAGCAGUCAGUGUGUGUGUGUGUGUGUGUGUGUGUGUGUGUGUGUGUGUGUGUGUGUGUGUGUUUGAAAUUGACCAAAACUUGUAGUAUAACUGAGUAAAGAUUUCAAGCAAUUUUUAAAAAUUAAAGAUGGAGCACUGCUGAGAACACUAUACUAAAAUAUUACUAAUUGAGCUUAUCUAACUGCUGCAUGUUUCUGCAAGUUCAGUGGGUUCUUUGGACUUAACACAAGGCAAAGAACUCUUUGACACUUCACAUUUGUAAUAAUGAAAUGAUUGUAUAGUUUCCUUCCUCUGUCACAGUGGUUCUCAACCUGUGGGUUGUGACCCCUUGGGAAGCAAAUAGCCCUGUCACAAGGGAAAUCUUAAGACCAUUUGAAAACACAGAUAUUUACAUUACAGUUCAUAACAGUAACAAAAUUACAGUCUUGAAGUAGCAACAAAAUCAUUUUAUGGCUGGGGAUUACCACAGCAUGAGGAGCUGUAUUAAAGGGUUGCAGCACUAGGAAGUUUGACAACCACUGCAGUAUGGGCUUCACUUCACAUCUGUUAUUCAAACAGCUGGGACAUGCUUCCCAGCAGCCUUUUGUAGUUAAAGAAGUUGUGACUUUUAGCCCAGAACUAAGAAGUACUCUUGAACUGAACACUAUUAAUUUGCCUUGAGAAAUGUGAAAUGACAGUUUCUCUAAGAUAAUUUACCAAACUCUUACCAAAACUCUUUCUACCAUGUUUUCUCCAAAAACAAAGUCAGAACUGCAGCUUUUAAAAGAACAGUUAUCUUCCUUUGGUUGGCAUCUGUGAAACAGAAAUAAGUAUUCGGUAUUUUAAAUUUGUGAAUUAAGCCACUUUAAGCCUUAGCAGGCAAAAUAAACCAGUAGUUCAAGAAUAAUCAGACCUCUUUGUUCAUAAGAAAUGAAUGAGAAGUGAAGGAAAAACAUGAGCCAAAGACUUCCAGGGGUAAUAUUAUGACAUUGGAGUUGACCUGUAUAGAUGACUUCAUUCCAUUCGCUAUGUGGGCUGCAUGACCAGCUGGAGAGCUGCCCAGCGCUUAUCUUACUACAUCCCAGCAAUCCCUAACCAUUAUUCUUUGUCGUAAGUGGCCAAUGAUGCUUUUAGCCAUCCAAGAUCUUCAGGGUGUCUUAUCAAUUAUACUUGAAUGUGCUUUAUUUUAAUUCUUCUACUCCAAGAAAAUUGAUUUUUAUAUUAAAAUUGUUUCACAGGAUGAGAAAAUCAAACAUGCAGCCAUUUGUAGGCAGAUGUUCUAACGGUUCUCCACACAUCCCAUGACCUCACCUGGAUGGUGCCUACUCAUGGUUGACCAUCCUGUAAAGUCUCACCAACAUGGCUGCCUAAACAUGAGCUGAACAAAGACCACAGUAGACACACUAAAGUGGACUAGGGCAGGGACAGUAGGGGGGAGGAGCCCAUGAGGCCUCAAUCCUAUACAAAGAACAACAGGCAACUAAGGAAUGCUGAGAACUGAAGAAAUAGUCUUCCUCGGGAAAGAGCAGACCAACUGGUUAUCUAAUGCCAAAAGGAAACCUUUUAAAGACUGUAAGAAACAGUGUUACCAAAGUUUAUAUUUUCAUUAAACUUGUAUAUUAAAAUGGUA